UACGGGGGGGGUAAGCGUUGUUCGGAAUUACUGGGCGUAAAGGGCUCGUAGGCGGCCAACUAAGUCAGACGUGAAAUCCCUCAGCUUAACUGGGGAACUGCGUCUGAUACUGGAUGGCUUGGAUUCGGGAGAGGAAUGCGGAAUUCCAGGUGUAGCGGUGAAAUGCGUAGAUAUCUGGAGGAACACCAAUGGCGAAGGCAGCACUCUGGGACGUGACUGACGCUGAGACGCGAAAGCGUGGGGAGCAAACAGG
rnacentral:rRNA from 1 species